GCUUGCACCGAGAUUCACAGUGGGCGAGUGGCGGACGGGUGAGUAACACGUGGGUAACCUGCCCUUAAGUGGGGGAUAACAUUUGGAAACAGAUGCUAAUACCGCAUAGAUCCAAGAACCGCAUGGUUCUUGGCUGAAAGAUGGCGUAAGCUAUCGCUUUUGGAUGGACCCGCGGCGUAUUAGCUAGUUGGUGAGGUAAUGGCUCACCAAGGCGAUGAUACGUAGCCGAACUGAGAGGUUGAUCGGCCACAUUGGGACUGAGACACGGCCCAAACUCCUACGGGAGGCAGCAGUAGGGAAUCUUCCACAAUGGACGCAAGUCUGAUGGAGCAACGCCGCGUGAGUGAAGAAGGCUUUCGGGUCGUAAAACUCUGUUGUUGGAGAAGAAUGGUCGGCAGAGUAACUGUUGCCGGCGUGACGGUAUCCAACCAGAAAGCCACGGCUAACUACGUGCCAGCAGCCGCGGUAAUACGUAGGUGGCAAGCGUUAUCCGGAUUUAUUGGGCGUAAAGCGAGCGCAGGCGGUUUUUUAAGUCUGAUGUGAAAGCCCUCGGCUUAACCGAGGAAGCGCAUCGGAAACUGGGAAACUUGAGUGCAGAAGAGGACAGUGGAACUCCAUGUGUAGCGGUGAAAUGCGUAGAUAUAUGGAAGAACACCAGUGGCGAAGGCGGCUGUCUGGUCUGUAACUGACGCUGAGGCUCGAAAGCAUGGGUAGCGAACAGGAUUAGAUACCCUGGUAGUCCAUGCCGUAAACGAUGAAUGCUAGGUGUUGGAGGGUUUCCGCCCUUCAGUGCCGCAGCUAACGCAUUAAGCAUUCCGCCUGGGGAGUA
rnacentral:rRNA from 1 species